rnacentral:rRNA from 1 species
GACGAACGCUGGCGGCGUGCCUAAUACAUGCAAGUAGAACGCUGAAGGAGGAGAUUGCUUCUCUGGAUGAGUUGCGAACGGGUGAGUAACGCGUAGGUAACCUGCCUGGUAGCGGGGGAUAACUAUUGGAAACGAUAGCUAAUACCGCAUAAGAGUAGAUGUUGCAUGACAUUUGCUUAAAAGGUGCAAUUGCAUCACUACCAGAUGGACCUGCGUUGUAUUAGCUAGUUGGUGGGGUAACGGCUCACCAAGGCGACGAUACAUAGCCGACCUGAGAGGGUGAUCGGCCACACUGGGACUGAGACACGGCCCAGACUCCUACGGGAGGCAGCAGUAGGGAAUCUUCGGCAAUGGACGGAAGUCUGACCGAGCAACGCCGCGUGAGUGAAGAAGGUUUUCGGAUCGUAAAGCUCUGUUGUAAGAGAAGAACGAGUGUGAGAGUGGAAAGUUCACACUGUGACGGUAGCUUACCAGAAAGGGACGGCUAACUACGUG